AACGAACGCUGGCGGCGUGGAUAAGACAUGCAAGUCGAACGGGACUUUUUCUGGUAGCAAUACCGGAAAAAGUCUAGUGGCGAACGGGUGCGUAACACGUGGACAAUCUGCCUUAAAGUGGGGGAUAGCUCGGCGAAAGCCGAAUUAAUACCGCAUGUGAUGAGGGAAGACAUCUUUCCGAAAUCAAAGCCGGGGCAACCUGGCGCUUUUUUGAGGAGUCCGCGGCCUAUCAGCUUGUUGGGAGGUAACGGCUCACCAAGGCUAUGACGGGUAGCUGGUCUGAGAGGACGACCAGUCACACUGGAACUGAGACACGGUCCAGACACCUACGGGUGGCAGCAGUCGAGAAUUUUUCUCAAUGGGGGAAACCCUGAAGGAGCGACGCCGCGUGGAGGAUGAAGGUCUUCGGGUUGUAAACUCCUGUCUA
rnacentral:rRNA from 1 species